AAUUGACUAUCUUCUGGAUAUUGUUGGUAUUUAGAUGCUGGUCCCCCUUCACCUGCUGAUCAUUUACGUCAAGUUUUCUACCGAAUGGGUUUGAAUGACAAAGAAAUUGUUGCAUUAUCUGGUGCACACACACUGGGGCGGUCUAGACCAGAUCGCAGUGGUUGGGGAAAGCCUGAGACUAAAUAUACG